GAACGGGAGUUUCCUCCAUUGG
rnacentral:miRNA from 1 species